rnacentral:misc_RNA from 1 species
AAGGAACUGUCUAUUAAUAUAGAUGGAAAUGGUGUAUCACUGGUUCCAGACUUGCUGCUAACUUGAACGCACGCUAGGAAGCUCGUUGAUAUGACUUUACUUUUGAAGAUCCUAGGCCUCUGAACGGUUUAGAUUUCUCGGUAAUUUGUAAUCUGUCGCAGGCCUCUGAUCGGUUUAGAUUUCUCGGUAAUUUGUAAUCUGUCGCUGCUAACGUAGCCUAGCAGUGGUACCACUUAGGAAGAAGAUACGAGGUAAAGAGAACUUUGGAGCAC